UACGAAGGGGGCUAGCGUUGCUCGGAAUCACUGGGCGUAAAGCGCACGUAGGCGGCUUUCUAAGUCAGGGGUGAAAUCCUGGAGCUCAACUCCAGAACUGCCUUUGAUACUGGAGAGCUUGAGUCCGGAAGAGGUGAGUGGAACUCCGAGUGUAGAGGUGAAAUUCGUAGAUAUCCGGAAGAACACCAGUGGCGAAGGCGGCUCACUGGUCCGGUACUGACGCUGAGGCGCGAAAGCGUGGGGAGCGAACAGG
rnacentral:rRNA from 1 species